CUCUCUCUCUCUUUCAGACGGUGAAAGGAGGGAUCUCUGAGACUCGCAUUGAGAAGAGGAUUGUUAUAACUGGAGACACAGAGAUUGAUCACGACAAGGCUCUGGCCCAGGCCAUCAAGGAGGCGAAGGAGCAGCACCCGGACAUGUCUGUGACCAAAGUGGUGGUGCAUCAGGAAACAGAGAUCACCCCAGAUUAACCCCAGGCUCACCUCUCCUAUAACCAGCUGGGGGCCAAAACUACCACGGCGCCUGAGGAAGAUCAACUCACAUACAGCCCCCCAACCCUCCCUUGUUCGCUUGUGUCACCACCAUUCCUACAUGUUUACCUCAGAGCCCCAUUCCCUCACACCACCCAACUGCACUGCCUUGCAGACAGACACACACACACCACACCAGACUGGACCAGUCCAACCAACCAGAGUGAACAAGCUUCACUUUUGAACUAUGAACUUUGAUCCUCCCAGCCAAUGGAGUUUAACUGAAGGAGAAGGGAACAAACAUAACUCUCCAGACAACUCCCAGAACAAUCCCUCUCGGUCGCUCUCCCUUCCACUCUACUGCCAAAUCCCGAAUGACUGAACUGGAUCUUCCAAACAUCAAAAAUAUUGAAAUAAAGUAUUUGAAUUUUUUUCCCCUUUCUCCCAUUUUUCUGGAGAUUUUAACGAGAAUUUUCAAAUGGCAUUUGGUCUUUUAAUUGUGUAGAGAUUGCAGGGACUUUGUUCAUAUUUUUCUAAGAUUUUUCUUCUCGUCGUAAUUGGAAAAUCAGUAUCUUCAAGGUCAACUUUGAAGGGACUCUUAUUCUGAAGGGGGGAUGAUAACAAGGGAUUGUGGGUGAUUUUUUCUGUAACUCUUAUUAAACCAUCAUGAUACGAGGAUCCCUCUUCAAAUCAAACAACUUUACAACCAAUUUUGGUUUCAUCUCUUGUACAGUACAAAAAGUUUGUAAUAUUUAUUUUCCCUCUCAAUGUGAAAAGUAUUUUUUCAAUUUAAGUGUAAAAAAGAUAUGAUUCCAUCCAAACAUUUGAGGGCCAAUGUAAUAUCUCUUUGAAGAAAUUGCUUCAUUAUCUAUUCUUCUAGAUGAUAUUCACACCUUUUGACUGUUUGUGUUUGUUUUUAGUCGUCGUUGUUGUUGUAGUCACACUGGGGGAAGAAAGGGGCUUCAUCAGAACUGGAGUGAAGGAAGCAGCGUAUUGAAAUGACUAUUUAUACUUACUAUUUUAUUUACAUGAUUAUUUCUGCAUAUUGUAUCCAUUCAUUUUAGAUCACCCUGACUUUACAGGUUUGUAGUUAUGUGUUUUUGUAUUAGGCUACUUGUAUUAGGCUACUACACUGCGUUCCAACCACCAGCUACAUAACAGUCAUCCAUUUGUACCUGGCAUGGCAGAGCAGCAGAGGCAACUUCACAAUGUCCUUCAUUUUCAUGUAUUUAUACUUUUCUACCAAAGG